UACGAAGGGGGCUAGCGUUGUUCGGAAUUACUGGGCGUAAAGCGCGUGUAGGCGGGGCUUUAAGUCAGGGGUGAAAUGCCAAGGCUCAACCUUGGAACUGCCUUUGAUACUGGGGAUCUUGAGUCCGGGAGAGGUGAGUGGAAUUGCGAGUGUAGAGGUGAAAUUCGUAGAUAUUCGCAAGAACACCAGUGGCGAAGGCGGCUCACUGGCCCGGAACUGACGCUGAGACGCGAAAGCGUGGGGAGCAAACAGG
rnacentral:rRNA from 1 species